AUUUUCAGAGCCUAAGCAAAACUAAUGUAAAGAGGAAUUUAUGCUGCUAAUUGUAUAUUAUUUGCAGGAGUUGAUCAGAAUGUGUCAGCUAUACUAAAGUUUAGUAAGGGGAGGUUGGCAACAAUAUCUUUUACUUCUAAUGUUCAACUGCCAUGUGAACUAGAAGUGGUUGGUACUAAAGGCAUUCUGAAGAUUCCAUUUCCAAUGUGGUGUGGAACAACCUUAAUCACUCCUGA